rnacentral:lncRNA from 1 species
UAAUGCAGAUAAGCUCUGUGGCAUCAAUUCACCCUCCAGAAGAAACCCAAAUAGCAACACAGGAUGAAGGUCAAGGAUUAACUGAUGCUAAUGGAAAUGUUCCCAGUGACCGUCCAGAUAAAAUAUUGUAUCCCAGCUGAUGAGGCCGGCACAUGAUGACAACACUACAAGCACCAAGAAAAUUGAUGCGAUGGCCUGUCUUAAGUUGGCUUCCUCUAUUGGUCUUUUAUCUGACAAGACACCUUUGGCAAAGUCUCAUCAAUAUGCUACUUUUCAUCUGCCUGACACUGAAAUCAAUGGACUGCAGAAGAAGCCUCUCGAUCAGCAUUGUCAGAAAUGAUCACCAUGCUGGACGGAGCAUGCUACCUGAUUUCUGUGAGCACUCAUUCAUUCCUGAAAGCUUUCUCUCAGCUGUUACAAGAGUGACCCUGCUUAGAGGUCAGAGAUAAAGAUGCUCUGCAGUCAGAGGAUGCACGCCUGACUGAACUCCCACAAAAGCAUGGCUGCAAAUCCCAGAGAAAGAAGAAAGAGAACUUACAUAAAGGAGGCUUUCUGGAGAACUCGCUGUAAGAGGGUCAAUGCGGAAAUAUGGAAUGU